GGUUAAGCGACUAAGCGUACACGGUGGAUGCCCUGGCAGUCAGAGGCGAUGAAGGACGUGCUAAUCUGCGAUAAGCGUCGGUAAGGUGAUAUGAACCGUUAUAACCGGCGAUUUCCGAAUGGGGAAACCCAGUGUGUUUCGACACACUAUCAUUAACUGAAUCCAUAGGUUAAUGAGGCGAACCGGGGGAACUGAAACAUCUAAGUACCCCGAGGAAAAGAAAUCAACCGAGAUUCCCCCAGUAGCGGCGAGCGAACGGGGAGGAGCCCAGAGCCUGAAUCAGUGUGUGUGUUAGUGGAAGCGUCUGGAAAGGCGCGCGAUACAGGGUGACAGCCCCGUACACAAAAAUGCACAUACUGUGAGCUCGAUGAGUAGGGCGGGACACGUGGUAUCCUGUCUGAAUAUGGGGGGACCAUCCUCCAAGGCUAAAUACUCCUGACUGACCGAUAGUGAACCAGUACCGUGAGGGAAAGGCGAAAAGAACCCCGGCGAGGGGAGUGAAAAAGAACCUGAAACCGUGUACGUACAAGCAGUGGGAGCCUCUUUUAUGGGGUGACUGCGUACCUUUUGUAUAAUGGGUCAGCGACUUAUAUUCUGUAGCAAGGUUAACCGAAUAGGGGAGCCGAAGGGAAACCGAGUCUUAACUGGGCGUUAAGUUGCAGGGUAUAGACCCGAAACCCGGUGAUCUAGCCAUGGGCAGGUUGAAGGUUGGGUAACACUAACUGGAGGACCGAACCGACUAAUGUUGAAAAAUUAGCGGAUGACUUGUGGCUGGGGGUGAAAGGCCAAUCAAACCGGGAGAUAGCUGGUUCUCCCCGAAAGCUAUUUAGGUAGCGCCUCGUGAAUUCAUCUCCGGGGGUAGAGCACUGUUUCGGCAAGGGGGUCAUCCCGACUUACCAACCCGAUGCAAACUGCGAAUACCGGAGAAUGUUAUCACGGGAGACACACGGCGGGUGCUAACGUCCGUCGUGAAGAGGGAAACAACCCAGACCGCCAGCUAAGGUCCCAAAGUCAUGGUUAAGUGGGAAACGAUGUGGGAAGGCCCAGACAGCCAGGAUGUUGGCUUAGAAGCAGCCAUCAUUUAAAGAAAGCGUAAUAGCUCACUGGUCGAGUCGGCCUGCGCGGAAGAUGUAACGGGGCUAAACCAUGCACCGAAGCUGCGGCAGCGACGCUUAUGCGUUGUUGGGUAGGGGAGCGUUCUGUAAGCCUGCGAAGGUGUGCUGUGAGGCAUGCUGGAGGUAUCAGAAGUGCGAAUGCUGACAUAAGUAACGAUAAAGCGGGUGAAAAGCCCGCUCGCCGGAAGACCAAGGGUUCCUGUCCAACGUUAAUCGGGGCAGGGUGAGUCGACCCCUAAGGCGAGGCCGAAAGGCGUAGUCGAUGGGAAACAGGUUAAUAUUCCUGUACUUGGUGUUACUGCGAAGGGGGGACGGAGAAGGCUAUGUUGGCCGGGCGACGGUUGUCCCGGUUUAAGCGUGUAGGCUGGUUUUCCAGGCAAAUCCGGAAAAGGAGAAGGCUAUGUUGGCCGGGCGACGGUUGUCCCGGUUUAAGCGUGUAGGCUGGUUUUCCAGGCAAAUCCGGAAAACCAAGGCUGAGGCGUGAUGACGAGGCACUACGGUGCUGAAGCGACAAAUGCCCUGCUUCCAGGAAAAGCCUCUAAGCAUCAGGUAACAUCAAAUCGUACCCCAAACCGACACAGGUGGUCAGGUAGAGAAUACCAAGGCGCUUGAGAGAACUCGGGUGAAGGAACUAGGCAAAAUGGUGCCGUAACUUCGGGAGAAGGCACGCUGAUAUGUAGGUGAAGCGACUUGCUCGUGGAGCUGAAAUCAGUCGAAGAUACCAGCUGGCUGCAACUGUUUAUUAAAAACACAGCACUGUGCAAACACGAAAGUGGACGUAUACGGUGUGACGCCUGCCCGGUGCCGGAAGGUUAAUUGAUGGGGUUAGCGGUAACGCGAAGCUCUUGAUCGAAGCCCCGGUAAACGGCGGCCGUAACUAUAACGGUCCUAAGGUAGCGAAAUUCCUUGUCGGGUAAGUUCCGACCUGCACGAAUGGCGUAAUGAUGGCCAGGCUGUCUCCACCCGAGACUCAGUGAAAUUGAACUCGCUGUGAAGAUGCAGUGUACCCGCGGCAAGACGGAAAGACCCCGUGAACCUUUACUAUAGCUUGACACUGAACAUUGAGCCUUGAUGUGUAGGAUAGGUGGGAGGCUUUGAAGUGUGGACGCCAGUCUGCAUGGAGCCGACCUUGAAAUACCACCCUUUAAUGUUUGAUGUUCUAACGUUGGCCCGUAAUCCGGGUUGCGGACAGUGUCUGGUGGGUAGUUUGACUGGGGCGGUCUCCUCCUAAAGAGUAACGGAGGAGCACGAAGGUUGGCUAAUCCUGGUCGGACAUCAGGAGGUUAGUGCAAUGGCAUAAGCCAGCUUGACUGCGAGCGUGACGGCGCGAGCAGGUGCGAAAGCAGGUCAUAGUGAUCCGGUGGUUCUGAAUGGAAGGGCCAUCGCUCAACGGAUAAAAGGUACUCCGGGGAUAACAGGCUGAUACCGCCCAAGAGUUCAUAUCGACGGCGGUGUUUGGCACCUCGAUGUCGGCUCAUCACAUCCUGGGGCUGAAGUAGGUCCCAAGGGUAUGGCUGUUCGCCAUUUAAAGUGGUACGCGAGCUGGGUUUAGAACGUCGUGAGACAGUUCGGUCCCUAUCUGCCGUGGGCGCUGGAGAACUGAGGGGGGCUGCUCCUAGUACGAGAGGACCGGAGUGGACGCAUCACUGGUGUUCGGGUUGUCAUGCCAAUGGCACUGCCCGGUAGCUAAAUGCGGAAGAGAUAAGUGCUGAAAGCAUCUAAGCACGAAACUUGCCCCGAGAUGAGUUCUCCCUGAGACUUUAAGUCUCCUGAAGGAACGUUGAAGACGACGACGUUGAUAGGCCGGGUGUGUAAGCGCAGCGAUGCGUUGAGCUAACCGGUACUAAUGAACCGUGAGGCUUAACCUU
rnacentral:rRNA from 1 species